rnacentral:rRNA from 1 species
GACGAACGCUGGCGGCGUGCUUAACACAUGCAAGUCGAACGGAAAGGCCUGCAGCUUGCUGCGGGUACUCGAGUGGCGAACGGGUGAGUAACACGUGGGUGAUCUGCCUUGCACUUCGGGAUAAGCUUGGGAAACUGGGUCUAAUACCGGAUAGGACAGCUGUUUAGUGUCAGUUGUGGAAAGUUUUUUCGGUGCAAGAUGAGCUCGCGGCCUAUCAGCUUGUUGGUGGGGUAAUGGCCUACCAAGGCGUCGACGGGUAGCCGGCCUGAGAGGGUGUACGGCCACAUUGGGACUGAGAUACGGCCCAGACUCCUACGGGAGGCAGCAGUGGGGAAUAUUGCACAAUGGGCGGAAGCCUGAUGCAGCGACGCCGCGUGGGGGAUGAAGGCCUUCGGGUUGUAAACUCCUUUCGACAGGGACGAAGCUUUUGUGACGGUACCUGGAUAAGAAGCACCGGCUAACUACGUG